rnacentral:rRNA from 1 species
AAUGGCGUAAUGAUGGCCAGGCUGUCUCCACCCGAGACUCAGUGAAAUUGAACUCGCUGUGAAGAUGCAGUGUACCCGCGGCAAGACGGAAAGACCCCGUGAACCUUUACUAUAGCUUGACACUGAACAUUGAGCCUUGAUGUGUAGGAUAGGUGGGAGGCUUUGAAGUGUGGACGCCAGUCUGCAUGGAGCCAACCUUGAAAUACCACCCUUUAAUGUUUGAUGUUCUAACGUGGACCCGUUACCCGGGUUGCGGACAGUGUCUGGUGGGUAGUUUGACUGGGGCGGUCUCCUCCUAAAGAGUAACGGAGGAGCACGAAGGUUGGCUAAUCCUGGUCGGACAUCAGGAGGUUAGUGCAAUGGCAUAAGCCAGCUUGACUGCGAGCGUGACGGCGCGAGCAGGUGCGAAAGCAGGUCAUAGUGAUCCGGUGGUUCUGAAUGGAAGGGCCAUCGCUCAACGGAUAAAAGGUACUCCGGGGAUAACAGGCUGAUACCGCCCAAGAGUUCAUAUCGACGGCGGUGUUUGGCACCUCGAUGUCGGCUCAUCACAUCCUGGGGCUGAAGUAGGUCCCAAGGGUAUGGCUGUUCGCCAUUUAAAGUGGUACGCGAGCUGGGUUUAGAACGUCGUGAGACAGUUCGGUCCCUAUCUGCCGUGGGCGCUGGAGAACUGAGGGGGGCUGCUCCUAGUACGAGAGGACCGGAGUGGACGCAUCACUGGUGUUCGGGUUGUCAUGCCAAUGGCACUGCCCGGUAGCUAAAUGCGGAAGAGAUAAGUGCUGAAAGCAUCUAAGCACGAAACUUGCCCCGAGAUGAGUUCUCCCUGAGACUUAAAGUCUCCUGAAGGAACGUUGAAGACGACGACGUUGAUAGGCCGGGUGUGUAAGCGCAGCGAUGCGUUGAGCUAACCGGUACUAAUGAACCGUGAGGCUUAACCUUACAACGCCGAAGGUGUUU